GACGAACGCUGGCGGCGUGCCUAAUACAUGCAAGUCGAACGCUUCUUUCCUCCCGAGUGCUUGCACUCAAUUGGCAAGAGGAGUGGCGGACGGGUGAGUAACACGUGGGUAACCUACCCAUCAGAGGGGGAUGACACUUGGCAACAGGUGCUAAUACCGCAUAACAGUUUAUGCCGCAUGGCAUAAGAGUGAAAGGAGCUUUCGGGUGUCGCUGAUGGAUGGACCCGCGGUGCAUUUGCUAGUUGGUGAGGUAACGGCUCACCAAGGCCACGAUGCAUAGCCGACCUGAGAGGGUGAUCGGCCACACUGGGACUGAGACACGGCCCAGACUCCUACGGGAGGCAGCAGUAGGGAAUCUUCGGCAAAGGACGAAAGUCUGACCGAGCAACGCCGCGUGAGUGAAGAAGGUUUUCGGAUCGUAAAACUCUGUUGUUAGGGAAGAACAAGGACGUUAGUAACUGAACGUCGCCUGACGGUAUCUAACCAGAAAGCCACGGCUAACUACGUG
rnacentral:rRNA from 1 species